ACAACGGGGGAUGCUUAGUACGGCGAGUGAGCGGCAAAAGCUCAAAUUUGAAAUCUGGUACCUUCGGUGCCCGAGUUGUAAUUUGGAGAGGGCAACUUUGGGGCCGUUCCUUGUCUAUGUUCCUUGGAACAGGACGUCAUAGAGGGUGAGAAUCCCGUGUGGCGAGGAGUGCGGUUCUUUGUAAAGUGCCUUCGAAGAGUCGAGUUGUUUGGGAAUGCAGCUCUAAGUGGGUGGUAAAUUCCAUCUAAAGCUAAAUAUUGGCGAGAGACCGAUAGCGAACAAGUACAGUGAUGGAAAGAUGAAAAGAACUUUGAAAAGAGAGUGAAAAAGUACGUGAAAUUGUUGAAAGGGAAGGGCAUUUGAUCAGACAUGGUGUUUUGUGCCCUCUGCUCCUUGUGGGUAGGGGAAUCUCGCAUUUCACUGGGCCAGCAUCAGUUUUGGUGGCAGGAUAAAUCCAUAGGAAUGUAGCUUGCCUCGGUAAGUAUUAUAGCCUGUGGGAAUACUGCCAGCUGGGACUGAGGACUGCGACGUAAGUCAAGGAUGCUGGCAUAAUGGUUAUAUGCCGCCCGUCUUGAAACACGGACCCAAAA
rnacentral:rRNA from 1 species